AUUGAACGCUGGCGGAAUGCUUUACACAUGCAAGUCGAACGGCAGCACGGACUUCGGUCUGGUGGCGAGUGGCGAACGGGUGAGUAAUGUAUCGGAACGUGCCCAGUCGUGGGGGAUAACGUAGUGAAAAUUACGCUAAUACCGCAUACGAUCUAUGGAUGAAAGCGGGGGAUCGCAAGACCUCGCGCGAUUGGAGCGGCCGAUAUCAGAUUAGGUAGUUGGUGGGGUAAAGGCCCGCCAAGCCAACGAUCUGUAGCUGGUCUGAGAGGACGACCAGCCACACUGGAACGGGGAAACGGUCCAGACUCCUACGGGAGGCAGCAGUGGGGAAUUUUGGACAAUGGGCGAAAGCCUGAUCCAGCCAUUCCGCGUGCAGGAUGAAGGCCCUCGGGUUGUAAACUGCUUUUGUACAGAACGAAAAGGUUUCUACUAAUACUAGGAGCUCAUGACGGUACUGUAAGAAUAAGCACCGGCUAACUACGUGCCAGCCGCCGCCGUAA
rnacentral:rRNA from 1 species